rfam:Brachypodium distachyon strain Bd21 chromosome 2, whole genome shotgun sequence.
GGAAUACUUCCUCCGUCCAACAAAAAAUAUCUCAACUUUGACUAAAUUUGAAUGCAUCUAUAUAGUAAGUCAAGUUUAGAUAUAUCUAAAUUUUAACAAAAUUGAGACAUCUUUUGUUGGACGGAGAGAGUACAUC